rnacentral:rRNA from 1 species
GAUGAACGCUGGCGGCGUGCUUAACACAUGCAAGUCGAACGGAAAGGCCCAUGUUUGCUUGGGUACUCGAGUGGCGAUCGUGUGAGUAACACGUGUGUGAUCUGCCCCGUACGUCGGGAUAUGCCUGGGAAACUGGGUCUAAUACCGGAUAGGACAUGUGGUGGGAUGCCAUUGUGGAAAGUUUUUGCGGUGUUGUUUGAGCUCGCGGCCUGUCGGCUUGUUGGUGGGGUAAUGGCCUACCAAGGCGUCGACGGGUAGCCGGCCUGAGAGGGUGUACGGCCACAUUGGGACUGAGAUACGCACCAGACUCCCACAGGAGGCAGCAGUGGGGAAUAUUGCACAAUGGGCGCAAGCCUGCAGCAGCGACAACGCGUGGGGGAUGACGGCCUUCGGGUUGUAAACAAAAUACGCUAGGGACGAAGCGUUAUGUGACGGUACCUAGAGAAGAAGCACCGGCUAACUACGUG